UGCAGAGAGUGUAUGACAUAGAAGUAUCAUUAUCAUUAGUACUCUUUAUUUUUGUCAUAGUUUGCAGUUUACUUUGCACCAGGGGGUUUGAAUUCCCACCUCUCAUGGGUAAAUACACACUCAAAUGCAACCUGAUUUGUAACUGUGUUGGUGGAGGAAGUGGUUACAAGAUACAACUCAGUAACAGCACACUUCCUUCUGACUGUGGAGCAAUACACCUAGGUAGAGUUCUGGCUAAUAACACGAUGGUAUCGUACUCAUGGUAUGUGUGGAUUGAUGAAAAAUGGAAUGAGAUAAUGAGAGAUAACUUGGCACAAGGCUGUGAGACAAUGUUGAAGUCUGUUCCUGAAAUGUUCACUCUGCUCAAUGUACCUACCAG